UAGGGAAUAUUGGACAAUGGGCGCAAGCCUGAUCCAGCCAUGCCGCGUGAGUGAAGAGGGCCCUCGGGUUGUAAAGCUCUUUUGUCCGGAAAGAAAAGCAUCGGGCUAAUACCCUGGUGUUCUGACGGUACCGGAAGAAUAAGCACCGGCUAACUUCGUGCCAGCAGCCGCGGUAAUACGAAGGGUGCAAGCGUUACUCGGAAUUACUGGGCGUAAAGCGUGCGUAGGUGGUUUGUUAAGUCUGAUGUGAAAGCCCUGGGCUCAACCUGGGAAUGGCAUUGGAAACUGGCGGACUCGAGUGCGGUAGAGGGGUGUGGAAUUCCCGGUGUAGCAGUGAAAUGCGUAGAGAUCGGGAGGAACACCAGUGGCGAAGGCGACNCCCUGGACCAGCACUGACACUGAGGCACGAAAGCGUGGGGAGCAAACAGGAUUNGAUACCCUGGUAGUCCACGCCCUAAACGAUGCGACUGGAUGUUGGGUGCAACUUGGCACUCAGUAUCGAAGCUAACGCGUUAAGUUCGCCGCCUGGGGAGUACGGUCGCAAGACUG
rnacentral:rRNA from 1 species